UUGGCCGCGGCCGGUGGCGGCCGGCCGGUAUACUCGGCCGGUCUUGCGGCGGUGAAACCCGCGCGUUGGACCUGUGCCGGCCGGC
rnacentral:tRNA from 1 species